rnacentral:rRNA from 1 species
UACGGAGGGGGCUAGCGUUGUUCGGAAUUACUGGGCGUAAAGGGCGCGUAGGCGGUGCGGUAAGUCAUACGUGAAAUCCCUCGGCUUAACCGGGGAACUGCGUCUGAUACUGGAUGGCUUGAGUUCGGGAGAGGGAUGCGGAAUUCCAGGUGUAGCGGUGAAAUGCGUAGAUAUCUGGAGGAACACCGGUGGCGAAGGCGGCAUCCUGGACCGAUACUGACGCUGAGGAGCGAAAGCCAGGGGAGCAAACGGG